rnacentral:rRNA from 1 species
GACGUAGGGCGCGAGCGUUGUCCGGAUUUAUUGGGCGUAAAGAGCUCGUAGGCGGCUUGUCGCGUCGACUGUGAAAUCCCGCGGCUCAACUGCGGGUCUGCAGUCGAUACGGGCAGGCUAGAGUUCGGUAGGGGGAGACUGGAAUUCCUGGUGUAGCGGUGAAAUGCGCAGAUAUCAGGAGGAACACCGGUGGCGAAGGCGGGUCUCUGGGGCCGAUACUGACGU